rnacentral:rRNA from 1 species
UACGGAGGGUGGAAGCGUUGAUCGGAUUGACUGGGCGUAAAGGGAGCGUAGGCGGCUUGACAAGUCGGGAGUGAAAUUUCGGGGCUUAACCCCGAAACUGCUUUCGAAACUGUCGAACUAGAGGAUAUUAAGGGAAAGCGGAAUACCACCAUGUAGCGGUGAAAUGACGUAGAUAUGUGGUAGAACACCGGUGGUGAAGACGGCUUUCUGUGAUAUUACUGACGCUGAGGCUCGAAAGCAUGGGGAUCAAACAGG